GCUGGAGUGGGCGGAGCUGCGAGGGGGGUUAUAAGCCCGCGGUGGCCAAUCGGUGCUCGUGCCGAGCCGAGUGGGCGGGGCGAGCCGGAGUCGGAUUUGCAAAAGGCUCAUUACCGCUGGUUUCCAACGAAGGCAAAAUUCUGCCUGUUUACAAUUGAUAUACGUGUGUAUAUUUGAAAAGUAAGCGAAAUGUACAAGAGAAGCCAAACAGAGGACGCCCACGGGAGCAAAAGAAGUAAACACAUAAGAGGAAAAGAAGAAGACGUUUCAAACUUCAAAGCCUGUGUUGCAACUAAUAUCAAGCGUAGUUUAAACAUGACAGCAACUUAAACAUUGCAACGUACCGUAUCACAAAUCUUUAGAAGAGGAGGCCAGCGUAGCCUAGCGGUUCCUUCACAUUCCUGUCCGAGUCACUGUUAAAAUGGCUUUUCCCCUCCCGCAUGGAGGAAAAAUAGCCCGGAGCUGAGAGUUAAAUAGAACCUCCAUGUCUAUGCGCAGUCUACCUGCGAUACUCUGCCUGUCAGUUUUUGGCUACCUGCUGCUGGAAACAGAGUGCUGGCUGGGAAGGACCUGCCAGUCAAGCCCUUACAUCAAGGUUGGAACAAAAGUUUUGAAAACCACACAUUGCAUUUGUUUCUCUCCCUCUUCUUCCAAGCCCUUGAGAUGUUUUGGGAUUCCGACAAGGUUUCUUUUUUUUAAAAAAAAUGCUUUUUAUUGAUUUUCACAAACAUAAAUAAAAUUUAAACUUUCACAUUCAA